rnacentral:rRNA from 1 species
AGCGAACGCUGGCGGCAGGCCUAACACAUGCAAGUCGAACGAACUCUUCGGAGUUAGUGGCGGACGGGUGAGUAACACGUGGGAACGUGCCUUUUGGUUCGGAAUAACUCAGGGAAACUUGUGCUAAUACCGAAUGUGCCCUUCGGGGGAAAGAUUUAUCGCCAUUAGAGCGGCCCGCGUCUGAUUAGCUAGUUGGUGAGGUAACGGCUCACCAAGGCGACGAUCAGUAGCUGGUCUGAGAGGAUGACCAGCCACACUGGGACUGAGACACGGCCCAAGCUACGCCUGGACGCAGCGGUGGUGACCGUGCCGACACGGGCGAAGUGCAGAGGCACGUGUGCGCAGUCAGUGAUGGAGGUCUGAUCUCAGCACCAUGCUGUCAGCGAGGAGCAUAAUGAGUUUAGCCGGAGAAUACCCCCCGCAUGACGUCGCGCCAGCCCCGCGUUCUGAUCGAAGAGAACCGCUUUUUAC